AGGCGGCUUAAUAAGUCAGUGGUGAAAGCCCUACGCUUAACGUAGGAACGGCCAUUGAUACUGUUAGGCUUGAAUUAUUAGGAAGUAACUAGAAUAUGUAGUGUAGCGGUGAAAUGCUUAGAGAUUACAUGGAAUACCAAUUGCGAAGGCAGGUUACUACUAAUGGAUUGACGCUGAUGGACGAAAGCGUGGGUAGCGAACAGGAUUAGAUACCCUGGUAGUCCACGCCGUAAACGAUGGAUACUAGCUGUUGGGCGCAAGUUCAGUGGCUAAGCGAAAGUGAUAAGUAUCCCACCUGGGGAGUACGUUCGCAAGAAUGAAACUCAAAGGAAUUGACGGGGGCCCGCACAAGCGGUGGAGCAUGUGGUUUAACUCGAUGAUACGCGAGGAACCUUACCAAGGCUUAAAUGUAGUUUGACCGUUUUGGAAACAGAACUUUCGCAAGACAAAUUACAAGGUGCUGCAUGGUUGUCGUCAGCUCGUGCCGUGAGGUGUCAGGUUAAGUCCUAUAACGAGCGCAACCCCUGUUGUUAGUUGCCAGCGAGUCAAGUCGGGAACUCUAACAAGACUGCCAGUGCAAACUGUGAGGAAGGUGGGGAUGACGUCAAAUCAUCACGGCCCUUACGCCUUGGGCUACACACGUGCUACAAUGGACGGUACAGAGAGCAGCCACUGGGUGACCAGGAGCGAAUCUACAAAACCGUUCUCAGUUCGGAUCGGAGUCUGCAACUCGACUCCGUGAAGCUGGAAUCGC
rnacentral:rRNA from 1 species